rfam:Ciona savignyi cont_62155, whole genome shotgun sequence.
GCUUAUCACCAUCUCCAGAUUGUAAUAUACCCGAUCUCGUCUGAUCUCGGAAGUCAAGCAAUCUCGGGCUUGGUGAGUACUUGGAUGGGUGACCGCUUGGGAAUACCAAGUGUGAUAAGAG